CAGCAGUCUAGAAACAGCAACAGUAAAAUAGCAGAGCUUCUGAAGGCUGCAGAUAUUGCAGAUAUGGACAAAGAGGAACCGCUGGAAGACUUUGAAACUUCAGGAUGUUCUCAUACAUCAGAACGUAAUCCAUUAUUAGGAGGAAAAACCUCCAAACAACCACCACAGUCUACAGAGUCCAGCGUCAGGGAAAAGCAGUCACAGUCUUCAUUGUGUUCAUUGUUUCGACGCAAAGUGAGGGUCUGCAUUGUUGUUACUGGUCAGACCUUUGGCGCUGAUGCAUCCAUACUGGAACAACUGAACCAAAAGUUGUCAACAAAGUUAAUGGAGGUUCAGAUCACCAGCUUGAAGGAAUGUGACAUAAUCAUAGUUUUCUGUCCAGUCACAACCCGGAUCGGAUCGGAUGCGGCGGCAGCACUGAGAAGAGAGGAAGUAUCAUCAAGUGAUAAACCUGCCAUUCUAGUGCUGAUGCAUCACACUCGAGAUGUUGGGUACUCAACUGGAGGAAGAAAGUGGUCUGAAAAUUCUCCAAUUGUUAAACUGGUGGUUGAUGUUCUCUUCCAUGAGACGGAGCAUGGAUUACUGCAGUGUGACAGAAACAAACAGGCUGUCAAAGAAAUAUACAAUGAAGUAUACAACAAACACAACAAAUGUCCAAGAAUUUUGUGGCUAUUUUUACUUGUUUUUCCUCCUGGUCUACUUUUAGCUAUUCUCUUUAGGUUUCUGCACAGCAGAUAAUCUCCCUAUAUCUCACCCUAUCCCUAGCUUCCUCUUUCUCACCAACAUUCUGCAUGUACUCCUUCAGUGUAUCCAUGAACCUCCUCCGAGGUCUUCGUCUUCUCCUCCACCUGUUCCCUACUAUCAAUACAGAUCACAGAGCUGUCUGCAAACAUCAUAUCCCACAGAGACUCCUGCCUGGCCUGAUCUAUCAGCAUGUGCAUCACCACUGCAAACAAGAAGAGCAGAUCCCUAAUGUAAUCCCACCUCCAUCCUGAACCCAUCAUGAACUCCUUACCACACAGCUCACCACUGUCUCUCUGCUUUCAUACCUGUCCUGCACCACCCUAAGAGACUUCUCUGCCACUCCAGACUUCCUCAUGCAGUACUACAGUGUCUUUCUCAGCACGCUAUCUUCUGCUUUCCCUGAUACACAAACACAGACAAAAGGCCCCAACCUCUGUACAUCUAUAUCAACACUCUUAAAGCAAACAUCGAAUAUGUAAUCUUCAUUCUGUUCCUCAGUAUGAAGUCAUACUACUGCUCAUUCAUCAUCACCUCUCCUAGCUUCAAGAACACAUUAGUCUGUGGCAAUUUAGUGAGUUUAAU